rnacentral:rRNA from 1 species
UACGGGGGGAGCAAGCGUUGUUCGGAUUUACUGGGCGUAAAGGGCGCGUAGGCGGCCAGCACAAGUCAGUUGUGAAAUCUCCGGGCUUAACUCGGAAAGGUCAACUGAUACUGUGCGGCUAGAGUGCAGAAGGGGCAACUGGAAUUCUUGGUGUAGCGGUGAAAUGCGUAGAUAUCAAGAGGAACACCUGCGGCGAAGGCGGGUUGCUGGGCUGACACUGACGCUGAAGCGCGAAAGCCAGGGGAGCGAACGGG